rnacentral:rRNA from 1 species
AUUGAACGCUGGCGGCAUGCUUUACACAUGCAAGUCGAACGGCAGCGCGGUCUUCGGCCUCUCGUCCAGUGGCGAACUGGUGAGUAAUGCAUCGGUACGUCCCCAGUUGUUGUGGAUAGCGCGGCGACAUCGGGAUUCAUACCCCAUAACACCCGACGGUGAAAGGGUGGAAGCGAAAGACCUCGGGCUAUUGCACGAGCCGAUGUCGGAUUAGCUAGUUGGUGGGGUAAAGGCUUACCAAGGCGACGAUCCGUAGCUGGUCUGAGAGGAUGAGCAGCCACACUGGAACUGAGACACGGCCCAGACUCCUACGGGAGGCAGCAGUGGGGAAUUUUGGACAAUGGGCGCAAGCCUGAUCCAGCCAUGCCGCGUGAGGGAAGAAGGCCUUCGGGUUGUAAAGCGCUUUUGUUCGGGAAGAAAACCUGUGGGCUAAUACCCCGGGGGGAUGACGGUACCGGAAGAAUAAGCACCGGCUAACUACGUG